rnacentral:rRNA from 1 species
CCUACGGGCGGCUGCAGUGGGGAAUAUUGGACAAUGGGCGAAAGCCUGAUCCAGCCAUGCCGCGUGUGUGAAGAAGGCCUUCGGGUUGUAAAGCACUUUCAGUGGGGAAGAAAGCCUUGGGGCUAAUACCCUCGAGGAAGGACAUCACCCACAGAAGAAGCACCGGCUAACUCCGUGCCAGCAGCCGCGGUAAUACGGAGGGUGCGAGCGUUAAUCGGAAUUACUGAGCGUAAAGCGCGCGUAGGCGGUCUGAUAAGCCGGUUGUGAAAGCCCCGGGCUCAACCUGGGAACGGCAUCCGGAACUGUCAGGCUAGAGUGCAGGAGAGGAAGGUAGAAUUCCCGGUGUAGCGGUGAAAUGCGUAGAGAUCGGGAGGAAUACCAGUGGCGAAGGCGGCCUUCUGGACUGACACUGACGCUGAGGUGCGAAAGCGUGGGUAGCAAACAGGAUUAGAUACCCCUGUAGUC